GACGAACGCUGGCGGCGUGCUUAACACAUGCAAGUCGAGCGGAGCGGCGAACGGGUGAGUAACGCGUGAGUAACUGCCCCCCUCUCUGGGAUAACAGUUGGAAAAGGCUGCUAAUACCGGAUAGUUGGGGAUGACUCGCGUCCUAUCAGCUUGUUGGUGGGGUAGUGCCCUACCAAAGCGACGACGGGUAGCCGGCCUGAGAGGGCGACCGGCCACAUGGUUCUGUGCUACGGGCCAAACUCCUACGGUAGGCAGCAGGGGGGAAUAUUGCACAAUGGGGGAAACCCUGAUGCAGCACCGCCGCGUGCGGGAUGACUGCCUUCGGGUUGUAAACCGCUUUCAGCCAUGACGCGGUAGUGGCAGAAGAAGCACCGGCUAACUACGUGCCAGCAGCCGCGGUAAUUC
rnacentral:rRNA from 1 species